UUUGCCUUUGCAUUUAUUGUGUGUCU
rnacentral:piRNA from 1 species